rnacentral:rRNA from 1 species
CGCCAGACUCCUACGGGAGGCAGCAGUGAGGAAUAUCGGUCAAUGGUCGGGAGACUGAACCAGCCAAGCCGCGUGAGGGAUGAAGGUACAGAGUAUCGUAAACCUCUUUUGUCAGGGAACAAAGGCGGGGACGUGUCCCCGGAUGAGUGUACCUGAAGAAAAAGCAUCGGCUAACUCCGUGCCAGCAGCCGCGGUAAUACGGAGGAUGCGAGCGUUAUCCGGAUUUAUUGGGUUUAAAGGGGGCGCAGGCGUCUUGUUAGGGCGGGGGUAACGCGCGGGCCCCCCCCCCCCCCCCGCCGUUGAAACUGGCAGUCUCGAGUUGGAGAGAAGUAUGCGGAAUGCGCGGUGUAGCGGUGAAAUGCAUAGAUAUCGCGCAGAACUCCGAUUGCGAAGGCAGCAUGCCGGCUCCACACUGACGCUGAGGCACGAAAGCGUGGGUAUCGAACAGGAUUAGAUACCCCCGUA